rnacentral:rRNA from 1 species
UUUUAUCAAGGAAGAAGAACUGACGGUACUUGAUGAAUAAGCCACGGCUAAUUCCGUGCCAGCAGCCGCGGUAAUACGGGAGUGGCAAGCGUUAUCCGGAAUUAUUGGGCGUAAAGCGUCCGCAGGCGGUUUUACAAGUCUGUCGUUAAAGCGUGGAGCUCAACUCCAUUUCAGCGAUGGAAACUGUAAGACUCGAGUGUGGUAGGGGCAGAGGGAAUUCCCGGUGUAGCGGUGAAAUGCGUAGAUAUCGGGAAGAACACCAGUGGCGAAAGCGCUCUGCUGGGCCAUAACUGACGCUCAUGGACGAAAGCCAGGGGAGCGAAAGGGAUUAGAUACCCCUGUAGUCCUGGCCGUAAACGAUGAACACUAGGUGUCGGGGGAAUCGACCCCCUCGGUGUCGUAGCCAACGCGUUAAGUGUUCCGCCUGGGGAGUACGCACGCAAGUGUGAAACUCAAAGGAAUUGACGGGGGCCCGCACAAGCGGUGGAGUAUGUGGUUUAAUUCGAUGCAACGCGAAGAACCUUACCAGGGCUUGACAUCCUGCGAAUCCCUUGGAAACGAGGGAGUGCCUUCGGGAGCGCAGAGACAGGUGGUGCAUGGCUGUCGUCAGCUCGUGUCGUGAGAUGUUGGGUUAAGUCCCGCAACGAGCGCAACCCACGUCUUUAGUUGCCAGCAUUUAGUUGGGCACUCUAGAGAGACCGCCGGUGACAAACCGGAGGAAGGUGUGGAUGACGUCAAGUCAUCAUGCCCCUUACGUCCUGGGCUACACACGUACUACAAUGCUACGGACAAAGAGCAGCAAACUCGCGAGGGCAAGCAAAUCUCAUAAACCGUGGCUCAGUUCAGAUCGUAGGCUGCAACUCGCCUACGUGAAGGAGGAAUCGCUAGUAAUCGCAGGUCAGCAUACUGCGGUGAAUACGUUCCCGGGCCUUGUACACACCGCCCGUCACACCAUGGA